rnacentral:rRNA from 1 species
AUUGAACGCUGGCGGCAUGCUUUACACAUGCAAGUCGAACGGCAGCGACAGGGAGCUUGCUCCCGGGUGGCGAGUGGCGCACGGGUGAGUAAUACAUCGGAACGUGUCCUGUUGUGGGGGAUAACUGCUCGAAAGGGUGGCUAAUACCGCAUGAGACCUGAGGGUGAAAGCAGGGGAUCGCAAGACCUUGUGCUACUAGAGCGGCCGAUGGCAGAUUAGGUAGUUGGUGGGAUAAAAGCUUACCAAGCCAACGAUCUGUAGCUGGUCUGAGAGGACGAUCAGCCACACUGGGACUGAGACACGGCCCAG